GUGAAAAGUACGGUAUUUAGGAGUUAAAGCUGACAAAACUCCGUGGAAAAAUUUGAGACUCACAGAUGUUAUAGCAGAUAAGCUUCUGUCCUUUUCAUUCAAGCAUCCAAUAGAACAAGCUUGUGCAAAAUUCUGAUUGUUCUUGCAGAAAGUUUCCAAUGAAAAGAAAUUCUGCUGUGACAUCUACUUGUGAUACGUCAAGAAUUGGUCAUCAUCAACAAGUGGCCAAUAAUAAGGUUCUGUUACUCCAUGGAAUUCAUCUAAAAUAUAGUUUGAAAUAGAGCAUUAUUUUGCAAAAUGCUGAAAGUAAAAGAAUAAAGAAUUAAUAUGAAAACAUGCAAA